rnacentral:rRNA from 1 species
GACGAACCGUCCUAACGUUGUUCGGAAUCACUGGGCUUAAAGGGCGCGUAGGCGGGUUCCCAAGUCGGUGGUGAAAUCUUUCGGCCCAACCGGAAAACAGCCGCCGAUACUGGGAGUCUUGAGGGAGGUAGGGGUCGAUGGAACUUCCGGUGGAGCGGUGAAAUGCGUAGAUAUCGGAAGGAACGCCGGUGGCGAAAGCGAUCGACUGGACCUUUCUGACGCUGAGGCGCGAAAGCCAGGGGAGCAAACGGG